GACGAACGCUGGCGGCGUGCUUAAUACAUGCAAGUCGAACGGAAAGGCCCUGCUUUUGCGGUGUGCCAGAGUGGCGAAAGGGUGGGUAACACGUGAGUCACCUGCCCUUGACAUUGUGAUAACUUCAGGAAACUGGGGCUCAUACCGGAUAGGAGAUCCUGCUCCAUGGUGGGCGUUGGAAAGGUUCGGCGGUUGGGGAUGGAAUGGCGGGUUAUCAGCUGGUUGGUGGGGGUGUGGCUUACCAAGGCUUUGACGGGUAGCAGGCCUGUGAGGGGGACGGGCCACAUUGGGACUGAGAUACGGCCCAGACUCCUACGGUAGGCAGCGGGGGGGAAUAUUGCACAAUGGGCGGAAGCCUGAUGCAGCAACGCCGCGUGCGGGAUGACGGCCUUCGGGUUGGAAACCGCUUUCGCCUGUGACGAAGCGUGAGUGACGGUAAUGGGUAAAGAAGCACCGGCUAACUACGUG
rnacentral:rRNA from 1 species